UGGGGAAUCUUGCGCAAUGCGCGAAAGCGUGACGCAGCAACGCCGCGUGGGGGAAGAAGGCUUUCGGGUUGUAAACCCCUUUCAGGAGGGACGAAGCUUCGGGCGUUAAUAGCGUUCCGAAGUGACGGUACCUCACUAAGAAGCCCCGGCUAACUACGUGCCAGCAGCCGCGGUAAUACGUAGGGGGCAAGCGUUGUCCGGAAUCAUUGGGCGUAAAGCGCGCGUAGGCGGUCAGAUAAGUCCGGUGUGAAAGUCACAGGCUCAACCUGUGAAUGCCGCUGGAAACUGUCUGACUCGAGUCCGGAAGGGGCGAGUGGAAUUCCUGGUGUAGCGGUGAAAUGCGCAGAUAUCAGGAGGAACACCGAUGGCGAAGGCAGCUCGCUGGGACGGUACUGACGCUAAGGCGCGAAAGCGUGGGGAGCAAACAGGAUUAGAUACCCUCGUAGUCCCUGAGCGGGCUGGCAAGGCGCAU
rnacentral:rRNA from 1 species